ACUCAAAUGAAUUGACGGGGACCCGCACAAGCAGUGGAGCAUGUGGUUUAAUUCGAUGCAACGCGAAGAACCUUACCUAGGCUUGACAUAUAGUGGACAGCGCCAGAGAUGGCGUCUUCCUUCGGGACCGCUAAACAGGUGCUGCAUGGCUGUCGUCAGCUCGUGCCGUGAGGUGUUGGGUUAAGUCCCGCAACGAGCGCAACCCUUGUCGUUAGUUGCCAACAGGUAAUGCUGGGAACUCUAAUGAGACUGCCUGGGUUAACCAGGAGGAAGGUGAGGAUGACGUCAAGUCAGCAUGGCCCUUAUGCCUAGGGCUACACACGUGCUACAAUGGUCGGUACAGAGGGCAGCCAAACCGCGAGGUGGAGCAAAUCCCCCAAAACCGGCCCCAGUUCAGAUUGUAGUCUGCAACUCGACUACAUGAAGUUGGAAUUGCUAGUAAUGGCGUGUCAGCUAUAACGCCGUGAAUACGUUCCCGGGUCUUGUACACACCGCCCGU
rnacentral:rRNA from 1 species